GACGAACGCUGGCGGCGUGCUUAACACAUGCAAGUCGAACGGAAAGGCCCUGCUUUUGUGGGGUGCUCGAGUGGCGAACGGGUGAGUAACACGUGAGUAACCUGCCCUUGACUUUGGGAUAACUUCAGGAAACUGGGGCUAAUAUCGGAUAGGAGCUCCUGCUGCAUGGUGGGGGUUGGAAAGUUUCGGCGGUUGGGGAUGGACUCGCGGCUUACCAGCUUGUUGGUGGGGUAGUGGCUUACCAAGGCUUUGACGGGUAGCCGGCCUGGGAGGGUGGCCGGCGACAUUGGGACUGAGAGACGGACCAGACUCGUACGGGAGGCAGCAGUGGGGAAUAUUGCACAAUGGGCGGAAGCCUGAUGCAGCGACGCCGCGUGCGGGAUGACGGCCUUCGGGUUGUAAACCGCUUUCGCCUGUGACGAAGCGUGAGUGACGGUAAUGAAUAAAGAAGCACCGGCUAACUACGUG
rnacentral:rRNA from 1 species